AGCAGAAGAAAUGAAGUGAAGCUGGCACAAAACCCUAAAGCUCCUCCUUUCGAUGUAGACGUUCCCUGUGUUCUUGCUCCUCGGGGAAGAGGAGAGAUGCUUGUGUGACCCAUGGGAGGGAGGCUGGACCUCCUCAGAGUGAGCCAACAGCGGCUGAGGGCACAGAAGUCACAUGCCCAGGGCCGGCUCUCCCUCCACAUCCCUCUAAGAAGGUGGGGACUGGAACCCAGGGAGGAUGUGGCACCGGACAGAGGCUUCCAAUGGAGGCAACAGCUUGGUCCACCCACAUGGCGGCAGAUCCACGCAUCUCCCUGGACCUUCCGUGUCUGAGCGUCCAUCUGGGAGCCUCCACCAAGGGGCAUGAGAGAACAGAAGCGGAGGAAGACCCUGAGAGUUGGCUUCCUAAGAGAGAAAAGGGAGCUUAUUUCCCAGAGUGGUGUUCCAGGAUUGCUGCAGGACAUGUGACAAUGGAAUUACUUCUAUGAGAGCCCGAUUUUGGGGCUCAAAGUUGUCCUCAAGCCCAGAGAUGGAUGCAGGGACUCUCCAAGGUAGAAGGGCCUUCUGGCUACCAGCCACCCAUGCAAAGUGAAACUCCAGGCACGAAAAAGACAUGGGGAGUCUUGGCAAAUACUGAAGCCACUGCUGGAAAAGAAGGAAGGCCCCAUGUGAGCCUGCCCUCACCAUUCCAUGGAGACAGAUGAGCCCGUGGGAAGCUGAAUGUGCUAGGGGAGAUCUUUGUGCCCUGCUAACCAGUGGCCUGCCAGAAGCCCAAAAAGUGCCAGGAGGGAGCAGCGACAGGAAAGCAGAGAAUUCUGGAAAAUAAGGUUUCCCAGCAUCAUCUGCCUGGGUGAAUGUCGUUGGCAGGUAGACAUCUGUCUCAAUUUCUAAAGAAUGAUCUGAUUUUCUAAAAAAGGAGAAAGAAGGGAAGGAGGGAAGAAGGAAGGAAGGGAAAAAAAGGGAAAAGUAAAGAAAAAAUAAAAGAACUCCGGGCGCAGUGGCUCACGCCUGUAAUCCUAGAACUUUGGGAGGCUGAGGUGGGCAGAUCACCUGAGGUCAGGAAUUUGAGACCAGCCUGACCAACAUGGUGAAACCCCAUCUCUACUAAAAAUACAAAAAAAAUUAGCUGGCUGUGGUGGCGCGUGCCUGUAAUCCCAGCUACUCGGGAGGCUGAGGCAGGAGACUCGCUUGAACCCGGGAGGCGGAGGUUGCGGUGAGCCGAGAUUGCACCAUUGCACUCCAGCCUGGGUGACAAGAGCAAAACUGCAUCUCAAAAGAAAAAAAAAAGAAAGAAAAAAUAAAAGAAAAGGAGAUAUAAAAGUUCUAGAUCUGUGCUGUUCACUGCCCACAUAAUGCUAGUGAGCACCGAAAUGUGGAUGGUCUGAAACGGGAUUCACUGUAAAUGUAAAAUAGACACUGGGUUUCAAAGGCUCAGUGAGGAAAAGGGACUGUAAAAUAAGUAACAGUCAUUGUCAUCAAUUACAUGUUGAAAUAAUCUUUUAAUUAUUUUUUAUUAAACAAAAUAGAUUAGAAUUCAUUUCACCUGUUUUUAUUUUUCAUUUUUUGAGAGGGAGUCUCACUCUCACCCAGGCUGGAGUGCAGUAGCAUGAUCUGGGCUCACUGCAACCUCUGCCUCCUGGGUUCAGGUGAUUCUACUGCCUCAGCCUCCCCAGUAGCUGAGAUUACAGGCGCCUGCCACCACACCUGGCUAAUUUUUGUAUUUUACUAGAGACUGGGUUUUACCAUGUUGGUCAGGCUGGUCUCGAACUCCUGACCUCAGGUGAUCCACCCAUCUCAGACUCCCAAAGUGCUGGGAUUAUAGGCGUGAGCCACUGUGCCUGGCCCGUUUCACCUAUUUUUAAAAUGUGGCCACUAGAACGCUGCCAGCUCCAUCUGCACCUGCCCUCUAUUUACAAGGCAGGGCCGUCUCAGGUGGUAACUUUGGGAUGACAGCCCUGGUCCCAGCCCCGCUUCAACUUCCCACCAAAUCAUGAAGGUCUCUUGCUCAGCCCCUUUCCCGGAACGGGGCUGGAAGUAAACUAGCCCAGGUGUGUGGGUAUCUAGACUUUUGGGUUCUCCAGAUAAAAUCCAAGCAUCUCCCUGAAAAACCCUUUUGUUUUUUUUUUUAAAAUAGAGAUGAGGUCUCCCUAUGUUGCCCAGGCUGGUCUUAAAUUCCUGGCCUCAAGUGAUUCACCUGGCUCAGCCUCGCAAAGUGCUGGGAUUACAGGUGUGAGCCAUCAUGCCUGGCCCUGUUUUGCUGUUUAAGCAGCUAUUUUCUGAGUGCUGCUUGACCUUUUAAAAUCCUGCACUUCAUAUAAAGGUACAAAGGGGCUUUCUUGCACUCACUUGAGGUAGUCAUAUGGGUGGCUAUGUGAUAGAAAGGGAAACUUUGAAUAGGAUGUAUGAGUUGUGGGAGGGUUUUCGUUAGGCAUCAAUGGAGACUGAGUCCUGGAUAGACACUGUUCAAGUUUGAAUCCAGGUUCACUGGUCCUUAGGAGACUUUUUAAAGUGGUGCUACAGAACAUCACAGCAACAGUCACAGAACAGUUUUUCUUUUUCUUUUUCUUUUUCU
rnacentral:lncRNA from 1 species